AUGACUGAUGAAUGUAUUUUUAGUCCAGUGCAUGUAUAUAAGAUUAGUAUUGACCACGUUCAGAGGGUGUCAUAUGUGGAUCAACUUACUAUGUUGUGUAUAUUCAACAGUUUCAAUAUGAAAAAUAACUUGAUAUUGAUUCAGUGGAUUUAUUGCAUUUUGAAAAAAAAAACAUUUUUAUUUUAUAAUGAAUCUUUGAAAAUCAAAAUCUGGAUUUGAAUUUUUAAUGUUAUUAUAACCUAAAGAUGCCAAAGUUUGAAACAGAAAAUAGUGGGUUUCAUCCUACCACUUUCUUGGUAAAGAAAACACAUUUUUACUCAAAUUAAUUAAAAUGGAUUUAUAGCGUUUUGGAACCAAACUCUACAAAUACACUUUUGGGAAAUGCUAACAGAGAUAAAAAGGCUCUUACAUGUAACUCAGGUUGAACUUGUUUCAGGAACUGGGGGUCUGUAUUUGAUCUCAGUAUCAAUCUUUUUUUUUUCUGUUUUUUUUUUUUUUUUUAAGUUAAAUUUUACAUUUUUUCCAGAAAGUGUUUUUCUUAUUUCGUUCUUUCCAAUGUUUUGAACUUUGUGGAGAACUAAAACAUAAAUGGAUGAGAUACUGUCAAAUGGUUGGCACGUGGCGUAGUUCUGCAAAACAAAUUAACAAAUGUUUUCAAAUCUGAAGCCAGGUUGGUAAAACUCAAUCAUAUGCAGUUCUGCUUGGCAGCCCAUAACAGAUUUCUCAUUCAAAUCCGUUUAAUACAGUUUUAACAUCCGAUAUGAAACCAGCUGUUAUUGAUCGGUUCUCUCACUGUCCUGUCCUUCAUUUCCCUCUCGCUAUCUUGACUAGUUUAGCUGGAAUCAAAGUUGCAGUGAUUGUUGUAGAAACAAAGCCAUGGCAUAAACUAAAGCAGGGCUUGCAAUGGUUUUGGCUGUGAGACGGGCUUCAUGAUUACACAUCCGUAAAAUGUUAAUAACAGGAAUCUAGAAUACUUUUCAAAAACAUUACAUAAAUGAAAUAGUAAAAAUAGUUUUUUUCUCUCUCUCUUUUUUUUUUUUUUUUUUUGCUAAUUAACACUCUGGUACAAGUUCUCUCAGAAGGCCAGUGCCAUGAUCAUUAUAAUCAGGGGAGGUGGUGCGUGUGUUUGUGACUCCAUGCCUCCACUGCUUCCUUCCUGAGAAACUAAGGUGUUCAUGCACAGCUUGACACUACAGACUGACUGUAGUAUGAUUAAUCAUUUACUGCGUGUAUAGAUGCUGCCCAAUAAUCUGAACUCAAGCAAUAAUGUUACUGAAAGAUUCUCUGCUUAGAUGCAUGAAGAACACGUUUUCAGCUGCGAUUGUGCAGCGCUCUACCAUUCCCUGAGGACACUUGCCAUAAAUGCAGCAUUAUGUAUUGUGUGAAUCCCUCCUCUAAUUGUGUUUAACCAUCAGUCAAAGCUGUCACUUGUAGGUAUGGACAUGAUAUGAUAGGAUAAAAAGAUAAAAAGAAAAUAUACAGCAGACAAAAAAGGUAGAUAGGCAGACAGACAGACAGACAGAGAGAGGCUCAGUUUAUCCCAUUCUUCCUUACUAUGCAAGCAGUUUCUCAUUUCAGUAGCGGUGCCGUGAGUUAUAACCAAUUCAUGAUGCGAUUGCUGUGGUUGGUAAUCAAAGCCGAGAUGGUGGUUAUUGUUUAUUAGGGCCUUUGACUUAUGGACUGUGGCUUCAUAUGGUGGGUUCCUGCACAGUUCAGCUCUCACAAUCGGUCUAGUGCCCCCGGUACUCGACAUCACCACAGAUCCUAAUUAAAAGCAGACAGAGGGCUUCAUUGUCUGCUGUAGAAAACAGCGACUCGAGCGCAAGAUGUGAAGAGCGCAGUGGAACCUUUAUACUGUUUAUUGCCCUUUAUGGAGCUAAAUAUCUGCAAUUAUUGUCUCUCACAUACUGGUUCUCUCUCUCUUUUUCCUGAAGAAACAUGUGCCACACAUGCACACACAUAGUAAACAGUCUGCUGUGCAUAAGACAGGCAGAUGGGACGGAUAGUCAGCCAGGUGGGUGUUAAAGGUGUUUUUCGGGAUGUCAGAGUGCAUCAAAGCCCUGUACAUACCUGCAGUGCACAUUAAAAGUAGACAGCAUUUAUCUUCACUUAGACUGAAAUAGAAAAAAAAGGUCUAGGAAUCCAUCAGAGCAAAGCAAAUUCUGAUGUAAACAUUUGAGGUUCUGGCCACACUGAAAACAUAAUGAAAAGUAAAAGCAUAAUGUUUAAAGACAUUGUAUCAUGAGAAAUCAAAAGAAAUAAAUAACUCUUUAUUGAUUAAUGUUCACUGCUGGAAAGAGUUCAAAUAUACAAAGAUUCUGGAAAACUGAAGAACCUGCAGGACCUUAAAGAUUUUUCUGAAGAACAGUUCUCAUUUAACUGUUGAAGAGACUCAUCAAACCAUCUCAAAAAGAACG
ensembl:lncRNA